rnacentral:lncRNA from 1 species
GCGCGCCGUCGAGGUCCCCGCGUCGCCGCCCUCUGCCUUUCGUAACUCGGCGCGGGGUCUGGGUUUGCAGGGCUUUGAAAACGAGCCCCCGGCGCCUUGCGCCCUCUCUUCCGGCGCUCUGGCCGCAGAUUCGGGUAGCGCCGGCCACCGUGGACCAUUUUUCUUUUUUUCCUGCUUCGCGGCGUUCCAGGAUUUUCUCUUCCGGGUCGCUCUGAGGCACGGUCAGGGGUGCCAGCAUUCCCGGUUUGGCAUUGAACCCUCGGACUCUGCAAACACCAUUGAGGGGAAGCCCCCUUUUGCGCGUGCGCCGCGCCUCCUGAGGCCGGGAGCUAAGUCGGGCUGGCAGGGCCAGGUGGCACAUAAGCUCUGCCUCUGGGUUUCUAUUUGGCGUCAUCCGUGUGCAGAGGCGGCUGAGAUUUCGGCAACACAACAGCCUGGCCUUGACUGCAGCUCCAUCCCCAGCUCGGCAUUCGGAUCCAUAGCCUGGGUCGUGGAAGCUACUCCUUCGGUGACAAUCCCCCUCCUUCUAAAUGUGGUGGAGCUGACAUUGUGAUCUGGGGAGGCAGGUGAGCCAAUUCUGUCCAAUCAAACUUUUAAUGACUGGAUGCUGGGAACCCCAAAUCCAAAGUAACUUCAAAUUUGCUUCAGAAAUAGAGAAACGCUGAAAUAACCAUCAAACUGGGAGAUUGAUUUGCAUAGUCUUGAGAUACAAACCAGAAAUACAACCUCACAGACCUUAAUUAACCCAGUCACACCUCUCAAUCCUGUUAUCAGAGACUAAAGGAGACCCCCGAGGAUUUGGCUGUAAAGCUUGGCGGCAUCUCUUUGCUCGGAGAAGUGACGUCUCCUGAAUCUUUCUAGACAUAGAGCUUGGCAUAAUAAGGCUUUUGGAAGGCAAAGAGACUGGAAAUAUGAGUCUCCAAUCCCCCUAGAUGACUAAAGUUUCUCCGAAAACAAAGAAAAAAAUGCCCUCACUCAAACUAUAAGAUAACCCCUCUGAAAAUGAAGGAUAAUUUCUAGCCCUUUCAAAAAUAUUUCCAGGAAUUUUAGAAGAUGUUGUGAAAAUCCCAGGACCCAGCUAGCCAGAAACGCUACGUGUGAAUUCUGUUUCUUUCACUCAUAAAACUGCACCCUUGAACAAACCAUCUAACCCCUUUGAAAUCCCUCUCUCACCCAUAAAACGAGGAGAGUAUUGAAAGGAUUCACUUUACAGGCGUCAGAAGAUAUUAGAUAUUCCAGUGGGUAAGAAAACAAAAAAAGCAUACCGUAUGAAAGGAAAUGUGCUAAAAGCUUCAUUGUUAUUUCUACUCUGUAUGGAUGAAAUUAAAGCCCAGAGACGUUUAGUAACCCCUGCGAGGUCCCACAGCUAGUAAGUAAAAAACAUAUCAGGGAUCAAAGCCCAGAUCGUGUGAUGUCAAAGCUUAUUUUCUACCUUCUAACAAACUUUACUCAGAACUAGUACAUAGUAGGUGCUCACUUCACACUAGUUCAUUCAUCCUAGAGUUCAUUUAUUCAUUCCACAAACACGGGUGUUUUAGUUUGGGCUAGAUUCUCAUAUGAGCGAAUGAUACAUAACGAAUAAAACGUAGUUUAUACCUUAAAAAUACUUUGGGUGGGCUUCAGGCUGUAUGUUAUAGUGCGGAGGACACUGGAUUGAGGGUUUGAGUCAAGGUUUUCGCUGUUAGCCCGUGAGAGAUGGAAGUGACACAAAGGCCCUCACAAAACUUUGAGACAUAGGUGGCUCACGGGGGUAUCAGGGAACCACUGAUCUGGUCCUUUGUGCCAGUGGAAGACCUGGCCAGGUCUUUGGCAGGUGGCUCUCUCUGUUCUUCUUGUCCCCCAGGCAUGGUGUGACAACAGCUGGCCAGCCCUGGUGAUGAUGGUGGUUUGGUUACUUCUGUUUGUAAGUUCGUACAUAGUCCCUUAGGCCUUGGUUUUAUAAAGUGAGUCUGGCGUCAGAGCCCCACCAUUUGUAAUGUGUGUUUACGUUUGCUUUGGUGGUUCCUGCCUGGGGCAGUUUUGGUGAAGUCUGGAGACAUGCUUGGUUAUCACAACUGGUAGGAAAGAGGGAGGGAGGGUGCACCUUACAGCCAGUGGGUAGCGAUCAGGGGCGCUGCUAAACACCCCCCAAUGUACAGGACACCCCCCACCUCCGCAGAGAAUUAUCCAGCCCCAAAGGUCCGUGGGGCUGAGGUUGGGCAAUUCUGUUUUAUUCCGGAAGCAGUGGACCUCCAGCCGCCCCUGCCUGUUGGGUGGCUCCUACUUCCACUUUGGUCUGGAUGUUCUCUUUGACUUUUAGUCCAAGCAUGUCCUGCUUUUGAGCAUGGCUAUGCCUUUCAGAAAGAUAUUUCAAUAUUUUCACUGUCCAUCUGCGUAUCUGGCAGAGGAGGAUAAAGAAUAUUCCUCCGUGUAGAUGAAUCCACACUUGGGUUUACGGUAUUUCAAGCUGUGAGUUUGGUUAAUUUGAUUUCACCUCUGAGAGAGAGAUCCUCCAUCCUAUGUUAAAAAUAAGUCCCAGUUUCAGAGUUUGUCAUGCUCGGUGCCCUAGAUCACGAUGACUUCAGCAAGAUGAGUGUCACUCUGAGGCUGGGCCUCGGGGACAAUCAAGCCAACCUUCUCCAAGGGAAGCCCUCUACUGCUAUGUACCACGCGCCUUAAUGCACACAGGACAGCAAGUUCUAAGCCGGGUUUACCAAGGAUGUGGGUGUGACCUUGAACUCAUCACUUUCUUUCUCACUGAGCUUCCGUCUCAUAUGUGGUAGAUAAAGGAUUGGACCAAAUGAUCUCUAAUCGCUAAGAUGCUGGGAUUCGUGCUUCAACUGUGAUUUAUACAACACAGGGCUGAUUUUUUGCAGUUUAUUUCAGAAUAGCAUGGCUAAUAUUUAAGUAUUUGUGGUAGAAGAGCUUUUCAUGGGUGACUUUGUCUUGCCAUGCUCUGCUUUUGAAGGCAUUGAGACCAAGCAUCGGUGACAGCGUGACAUGGUUAAUUUCUUAGCCUCCUUCUCCUCAUAUACCUGAUCUGAAAAUAGAGAUAAUAGCUCUACCUCUUAGAACUGUUUUAAGAAUCAAGUGAGCAAAUGCAGUAAACAGUUAAUUGAUACCAGUUUGUAAGACUUGCAAAAUAAUCCAAUGAAUCUAUGAAGAUAUAGUUGGACUCUUAGCCGUCGCGUAGAUCAGAGAGCACAUUGCUUUGAAUACCUCUUUGAAUUUUCACCUAAUUGCUAUUUACCAACCUCCCUACACCACCCCAAAAAGUACAGGGGCUUGGUGCUAAAAUGCUCUAGGAAGGCAGAGGAAUUGCACAUAUAGCUCCAAGUCCCCUUCAGCUGGGAGAUAUCUACUCAAGCCCUUUAGCGAGACUUGAAAAGCAUUUGUCGGUUUUGGCUGUGUGUGUUCUGAUACAUCAGAGCAAGUGCAAUAUUUUGGCUGCAUUUAAGAAAAACAGCUUUCUGCUAAUGUGCAAAGAAAAGUUUUGGUUCCAUCUAAAUCCGAAUCCAAAUCCAAACACCCAAAAGCCCCAUUUGCAAAUUGGAACCCGAGUCAAAUUCCUUUGAGACUAGCCCAUCUCUAAUUAGCCGUACUGAGUCCCUGGGCCUAUGGAGGAACAGCCAGAGGGGCGUGUGCCACGGACAAGCCAGGGAUUUGCCCAGAAGAAAAAUGCAUUUUCUCUUGCAAGAAACACAUGUUCUCUCCCUUUGAGCUUCAAUUCCUUCGGAGACGAUGGGAAGGCAAGAAGAUAUUUUAGGGGGUGGCAUGUGAAUCUGACAGAGGGGAUAUGCCUUUAAGUAAGAGGACAAUAAAAAUGGGAAAUGAGCUUAGUCAACUGUAGCUUCUCCUGAAAAUUCCUGAUGCACAAUUAAGUAGGUUCUCAGUAAAGGAACCUAAGGGGGUGAGGGAAGAAAAAAGCAGUGUCUGAUAAAAGAGGGUCUGUGGCAUUUGCACAGGUUUAAAGGCAGAGAUGUAGGACUUUCAUGUUCAGUGGGGAGAGAGUCUAGAGAAAGCCCUUAUAUCCACGGAGAAAUACCCUCCUAAGCCAGGUAGCCUUCGCAGUGUCACGAAACAUCCCCCCAUACAAUGGUUUAAAACAAUGAUUUAUACAGAUUAUUGGGUAUAAGAUGGGCUCAAGGAUGGAUUAUAUGACACGGGCAAUAUAGCCAAUAUCUUGCAAUACCUGUAAAUAGCAACCAUUAAACAUUGUCUACAAAUAAUAAUAAAUAUAAAUUUUUUUUAAAGGUCAAAAAACCAUUUACCAUUCCUCAUGAUUCUUUGGGUUGUUGAGCUCGACCUGGUGGUUAUUCUGCUGGACUGACCUGGGGUCACCCAUGCACCUGUCAUCAUCUAGCCGCUUAACUGAGGGUGGAGGGCUUAGGAUGACCUCACUCCUGUUCCUUGACACCGCUUGUCAGCUCCCUCUCUUUCUAGGCGGUCCUCUGUCUUGGGCUUCCUCACAUAGUGAUGGGAAAGCCAAGAGGGUAAAAAUGGAAGGGGCAAGUCCCCUAAGUCUUAUUGGUCCCUGUCAUGCAGUAUCACUUCUGCAAGUGAUACCGCUGGUCAACGCCAGUCACGGAGUUACAUGCAGAGAGGAAACACCCCGUCCCUCGAUGGAAGGAGGGACAGCCUCGUCAUGCCAAGAAGCCCUGACACAGGGAGAGAUGAUUGACCGGGGCCAUUACCAAAACCAUCUCCACGCUUCUACCCCAAGGUAUGAAGCUGUGGAAAUUGCGUGCCUAUUAUGGAAUUCCCAUUUAGAAAAUGUCAGCCAAGUGUCCCCAGCCAAAAGGGUUGGACGCAGCCUUAGACAGCCACUGACCUUCAGGGUGCGCUGUCUCUGUUCUUUCUGCCAAACACCGCAGCUCUGGAUUGAGUGAUGGGUUUUUCCUUAAGACUCAUGGUUCUUUCAGACUUACCCUCAUGCCACUCAGGGUUCUUGGGAAUAAACAGUUUCGUGCUGCUUUUUGGUGUGAAAGUCCCUGACACUAAAAUGUGGAAAGAGCUCUUUCUUAUUCUCCCGGGGACACUUAUUUCUGCGUUGCACAUAAUCUCACAUAUAACUGUAUUUCUUUGUCUCGUUUUCCUGAGGGACAGACUUGAGCGUAAGGGCCGGAGCACCCCAUCCACAGGCACUCAGCAGGCUCCAUCAGGAACAAACUUGAGCAGAGAUAAAUCUAAGGACUGGAGAUACUGCGAACGCCUCUUCUCGAGAGGAGAAUGGGAGGAAUGAGCUCUCUGUGUCUAAUUUAUUCUUUGCAAAUUUAAUAAGCGCAUAAUUUAGUCCUCCUUUACUGAGGCAGAGUAAAUAAAACUGACUAGAAGUUUCCUGUGAUUGGUGUUCCCUCCACCUGGAAGGAAAGAUUAAAAAUGGAGAAAUUGGGACCUCCUGCUGUGGCUCAGCGGGUGAAGAACCGGACUAGACUCCAUGAGGUUGUGGGUUCGAUCUCUGGCCUUGCUCAGUGGGUUAAGGAUCCCACGUUGCUGUGGCUGUGGUAUAGGCUGGCAGCUGUGGCUCUGAUUCUAUCCCUAGCCUGGGAACUUCCUUAUGCCGCAGGUGUGGCCCUAAAAU